rfam:Pan troglodytes isolate Yerkes chimp pedigree #C0471 (Clint) chromosome 16, whole genome shotgun sequence.
GCUGGGUGCACUGGCGCACACUUGUAAUCCCAGCUACUUGGGAGGCUGAGACAGAAGAAUCACUUGAACCCGGGAGGUGGAGGUUGCAGUGAGCCAAGAUCGCACCACUGCACUUCAGCCUGGGUGAUAGAGUGAGACUCUGUCUCAA